CGCAGGAUGUGGCAACACAGUCAGUGUUCGAGCAGGAGUCAGCAGAGGUCAUGGUAGGUGUAGGACCGCGUCAUGGAC
rnacentral:ncRNA from 1 species